rnacentral:rRNA from 1 species
AUUGAACGCUGGCGGCAGGCCUAACACAUGCAAGUCGAACGAGGGGCGGACGGGUGAGUAAUGUCUGGGAAACUGCCUGAUGGAGGGGGAUAACUACCGGAAACGGUAGCUAAUACCGCAUACCAUCGGAUGUGCCCAGAUGGGAUUAGAGAGUAGGUGGGGUAAAGGCUCACCUAGGCGACGAUCCCUAGCUGGUCUGAGAGGAUGACCAGCCACCCUGGAACUGAGACACGGUCCAGACUCCUACGGGAGGCAGCAGUGGGGAAUAUUGCACAAUGGGCGCAAGCCUGAUGCAGCCAUGCCGCGUGUGUGAAGAAGGCCUUCGGGUUGUAAAGAUCUUUCAGCGGGGAGGCGUUACCCGCAGAAGAAGCACCGGCUAACUCCGUGCCAGCAGCCGCGGUAAUUC